GGUGUGGUUUCCUGUAGUGUUGUAGAAGGAAGGUCAACAUCCAUCAAGAUGGAGGAGGUGAGUGGUGUUGUUUCCUGUAGUGUUGAAGGAAGUCAACAACCAUCAAGAUGGAGGAGGUGAGUGGUGUGGUUUCCUGUAGUGUUGUAGAAGGAAGUCAACAACCAUCAAGAUGCAGGAGGUGAGUGGUGUGGUUUCCUGUAGUGUUAAUGGAGGAGGUGAGUGGUGUGGUUUCCUGUAGUGUUAAUGGAGGAGGUGAGUGGUGUGGUUUCCUGUAGUGUUGAUGGAGGAGGUGAGUGGUGUGGUUUCCUGUAGUGUUGAUGGAGGAGGUGAGUGGUGUGGUUUCCUGUAGUGUUGAUGGAGGAGGUGAGUGGUGUGGUUUCCUGUAGUGUUGUAAACUGACACUGUGACUCCUCCUCUCCUACUGCUUGUCCGGUUUUCUUUAUUACAUCUCCGAGGGUUUUACACAUCAAUCUGCCUCUUUUGAAGCAUUAUAAAAGCUAGGCGCCCAUACUGACGUGUCCUCUUUAGUAUUGGGCCCACUAAUAACCCGUACAUAAUAACUGUCCUCCUGUAUAGCUGCAGUGGCAUGGUGCUUGCAACUCCAGGAUUGUGAGUUUGAUUCAUAUUUGGGGACUCUAUUAGAUUGUUUAGUUCAAUUCAAUCUGGUAUGAGAACGGUAUUCACAGUCUGCGGAAAGCUGAGGAUCUUGGCUAUUGAGCUGUGCCUUAAAUUCUUUGGUGUGAUUUGCUAAUAUAUAUAUGAGCAUCCGAAUGUAUAACGGCAGGCUGAGCCGACGACCUCAUUUCAAGAUGGCUGCUACCUACAUUCCGGUUAGCGUUUUGAAGCAUAAACUAAAUAAACAUGGAAUACGUCGAUACACAUCGAAAGCCGGGACUCCACAGAUCAUGACGGUGUGUUAUUUAUCUGCCUGUGACCUACCGUUAUUGAUCACCGGCCCCGAGAGUCAAAAUGUUUAUUUUACACACAGUUUUCACCAAACAUCUUACAAGGUAAGCUUCGAUUAGGUCUGUGUUUGAGCUAUAGCCAUAUGUGGGGGUAUGAAGUUUAAUCCUUAGACUAGAUUUGUUCCUACCAACCUAUUUGCUAAUGUUAUCUGAUGAAUGACUUAAUGGCCACGUCGAACGUCCACUGAGUGACUAUCUUUGCACAACAACAAAAAAUGACGUUGCCUGCUUACACCCAGUAGGCAUUCAUUACACACAGGAUUGGCUACUAUGGCACCUUGACAAUCUUGUAGCCAAUGAGAUAAGCUUUUCAGGGAUAUGCAGUUGACCUGGGUGGAAUAAAGCAAGGUUUAGAACCUUUUUAUGCGUAAUGCGAACUAUUGUUACCUGGCUCAGACACGAGACGCACCAAUUACAUUGUAAACAUAUUUCAUCGCUUUAACAUAAAAGAUUGCUUCUCAAGUGGGGGGGGGGGGGGGGUAAGAACUAAGAAUAUUGAACAGGAAGCUAAAAAGAAGGUCGCUAUGAGUAAGUAUACCGACAUAGAAGCUUUGAAUAAAAUACUGGACGGACUCGGAUCAGGGGAGCGAUUUGAACAACAAGGAUUUCGACCCGGCCGACAAAGAUUGCUUUCUAGAAGGAUUGGAUCCACUUUUAGGUCUGAGGAAGCAGAGUAUUUGGAUGAUGUUUGGGAGCCACCCCUCCCCAGCAAGUGCCCCCGUCGGUCAAGGUCUUCACCCCCCCCCACUGUUAUGUCAAUCACCCGUCUGAUGGUUCUGCAUCCACUUAUCAAAGACCUCUUGAAAAAAUCAAAAGGACUGCCUCUAGGGAAGUAACCAUGUCAGAAAUGCCAGUUCACUUUUUGUUUCCUGGCAGAGAGGGACUGCUUCAAAGACUAUCACGACAUGCACAAGCUACGGUGAAAGUGAAAUCUAAUCAUCUACACCUGGGAUGUAAAACAAACACGAAUGCCAUUUGUAAGGUGUUCAGCUUAUUUAUGUUUUUGCACAAAAUAAAAUGUGAAGGACACGUGUGUAACCAAGUUUGUGUUUGAUAAGACUUUUUUUUAAAUAUAUUUUUUUUGUUUAUCUGUUACUUUUUAUAUUGUUUUUGUGAACAGUUAAUUUGUAUGUGGGACCAAUACAUUAGAUAUGCCUAGGCUAAAUCUUCAGGCACUUUGGAGAGUGCCCCUGAAACCACCACGAUGUUUGAGAGAGGUUGGUGUUGUAGAAAUUUAGUUUUUAUAGUGAACAAUAGUAGCUAGUUACUUUUAGGCACAUCCAGUGUGCAAAAACAGUGCAGUUACCAAAUUCGGACACUUUCGGAUACUUUGGAGAGGUUGAAAGGACACUUGAAUUUACCCUGGACACCCCAUAACACAACCACAAUGUUUGAGUGAGGUUGAUAUGGUAGAAAUAGUUUUUAUACUGAACAAAUAGCAUUUAGGAAUUGCAAAUAUGUAAUAGCACUGGAAUUAUCUCAUUUACAGACAAAUGCCACUUUGGAGAGGUUUAGGGACACUUGGAAAUAUCCUGUGACCACACCUGACACCACUCACUAAAACAUCUACCCAUUUUGAAUUGUUAGGUCUCAAUCCCCCCCCCCCCAAAAAAAUCUGAUAUUGUUCACAUGAUGAGGAAGCCAUCUGAUGUGUUUCCUGCUCUAGUCAUCAAUAAAUCACUUACAGCUUGUCAAUGAAAGAUGACUUUCAAAAUAAAGAACCUAAAUACUGGUUA